UCUCCGUUGGUGAACCAGCGGAGGGAUCAUUACCGAGUUUACAACUCCCAAACCCCUGUGAACAUACCAUUUGUUGUCUCGGCGGUGCCUGCUUCGGCAGCCCGCCAGAGGACCCAAACCCUUGAUUUUAUACAGUAUCUUCUGAGUAAAUGAUUAAAUAAAUCAAAACUUUCAACAACGGAUCUCUUGGUUCUG
rnacentral:misc_RNA from 1 species